GGGCCCGCACAAGCGGUGGAGCAUGUGGUUCAAUUCGACGCAACGCGAAGAACCUUACCCAGGCUUGAACAGCGAGUGACCACUCCCGAAAGGGAGCUUCCGCAAGGACACUCGUAGAGGUGCUGCAUGGCUGUCGUCAGCUCGUGUCGUGAGAUGUUGGGUUAAGUCCCGCAACGAGCGCAACCCUUGUCUGCUGUUGCCAUCACGUUAUGGUGGGCACUCUGCAGAGACUGCCGGUGAUAAACCGGAGGAAGGUGGGGAUGACGUCAAGUCAGCAUGGCCUUUAUGUCUGGGGCUACACACGUGCUACAAUGGCCGGUACAAACCGUCGCGAUACCGUAAGGUGGAGCUAAUCGGAGAAAGCCGGUCUCAGUUCGGAUUGUAGGCUGCAACUCGCCUGCAUGAAGUUGGAAUCGCUAGUAAUCGCGGAUCAGCACGCCGCGGUGAAUACGUUCCCGGGCCUU
rnacentral:rRNA from 1 species